rnacentral:rRNA from 1 species
GACGGAGGGAGCAAGCGUUGUUCGGAUUUACUGGGCGUAAAGGGCGUCUAGGCGGGUUGGUCAGUCAGAUGUGAAACCCCCCGGCUCAACCGGGGAUCUGCAUUUGAUACUGCCGAUCUUGAGUACGGAAGAGGAAAGCGGAAUUCCUGGUGUAGCGGUGAAAUGCGUAGAUAUCAGGAAGAACACCGGUGGCGAAGGCGGCUUUCUGGUCCGAUACUGACGCUAAAGCGCGAAAGUGUGGGGAGCAAACAGG